AUCAUCCUGACAAAAGCAAUACAUCUUUCAAUCAAGAAGGUGAUCAUUUGAUUUUUGCAAUGAAAUUUGAAAAAGUGUUUCCAGUUCCCACUUGCAAAGCGUCAUAUGGGAAUCAGAAUAUUACGAACUUGUUGAACAUAAGUUCCGUUCGAAGUGAUGUAGUUUACAAAGUUGAAAUCAACCUGAAGUAUCAUCACGUCUCGAAAAAAUGUAUUCAUCAUCCAUUCGAGCUCGACUGCUACGUCGGAACAAAGACGAUAAAACAGCGUUUUGAGACGUCCAACGAUGUUUGUCUUGAGAUAGUUCCCAAAUUAAAAACUGAUGAAAAACCAAAUGAAUCCGAAAAGGAUCAGACCCUUGGAACUGUCGGACAAGUAAUAUUCGGGAUAGUGUUUUUAUUUUAUUGUAUUAUAUUCCCAAUAACAUUUGCAUAUAUACAGUAUAAUAAUUACUAACUGUUCGCUGAUGGUUUAGAAGAAACUGUAUAUUAAAAUGUAUAUAGAUAUAAGAAGAUGUGGUAUGAGUGCCAAUGAGACAACUCUCCAUCCAAGUCACAAUUUGUAAAAGUAAAUCAUUAUAGGUCAAAGUACGGCCUUCAACACCGAACAGCAAGCUAUGAAGGACCCCAAAAAUGACUAGUGUUAAACCAUUGAAAAAGGAAAACCAACGGUAUAAUCUAUAUAAAAAAACGAGAAACGAAAAACACUUAUGAACCACAUCAACAAACGACAACCACUGAACAUCAGAUUCAUGACUUAGGACAGGUGCAAUUAAAUGCAGUUUUAAUAGGCACCAAACUUCACCCUAACCUGAAACAAUAGUGUAACAUCACAACAUAGAAAGACACACUAUAAAAUAUCAAUUGAAAUGGCUUAAAUCAAUCAAAAGACAUAUCAACAAAAACAAGUGAACAUACACUGAACGAAUAAAUUUGAUCCAUGACACAAUGAAAAUACAAAAUUAAUUUAAAAAAAAAGCAGUGAGAUGUAAAACAAUAUCAGAAAGCCAACCAUAACCUUGGACACAAUGCCGGUAAAUAAAAUAACGUUCACAGGUCAAUAAGAAUAAUUUUGUUGUAAGGUAUACAUGGAUCUAGUAAGUGUUCUACUACCAAUCUAUCAUUGCUUCUAACUACCUCCCUUACUACUAUCAAAGAACUUGUUAUUAAGUUUUGUAAUAAAGCUUAUGAAAAUAAUGGUAUUAUGUAUUUUUGGAGUGUUAAAAAUUCUUUAGAGGUUUCAGAUAAAAUACAUGCUUUUGAUGGUCCUUUUAAUUCUGUUGACAGUUAUGAUUUGUCUACUCUUCCACACAAUCUUAUCAAGAAAAAAUUUUCAUAUUUAAUUAAAUGGUCUUUUGAAAAAUCUCAUUGCAAAUUUAUUUGCUGUAACUCGUUUAAAACCUUUUUUUGUAACGAAAAAGGAAAGUAUGCUAGAUACACUUACUGGAAAUGUAAA